rnacentral:rRNA from 1 species
ACUCCUACGGGAGGCAGCAGUGAGGAAUAUUGGACAAUGGGCGGUAGCCUGAUCCAGCCAUGCCGCGUGCAGGAAGACUGCCCUAUGGGUUGUAAACUGCUUUUGUACUGGAAGAAUCAGCGCUUCGUGUUGCGCGGUGACGGUACCGUAAGAAUAAGGAUCGGCUAACUCCGUGCCAGCAGCCGCGGUAA